AACGAACGCUGGCGGCAGGCUUAACACAUGCAAGUCGAGCGCCCCGCAAGGGGAGCGGCAGACGGGUGAGUAACGCGUGGGAAUCUACCCAUCUCUACGGAAUAACGCAUGGAAACGUGUGCUAAUACCGUAUACGUCCUUCGGGAGAAAGAUUUAUCGGAGAUGGAUGAGCCCGCGUUGGAUUAGCUAGUUGGUGGGGUAAAGGCCUACCAAGGCGACGAUCCAUAGCUGGUCUGAGAGGAUGAUCCACCACACUGGGACUGAGACACGGCCCAGACUCCUACGGGAGGCAGCAGUGGGGAAUAUUGGACAAUGGGCGCAAGCCUGUUCCAGCCAUGCCGCGUGAGUGAUGAAGGCCCUAGGGUUGUAAAGCUCUUUCACCGGUGAAGAUAAUGACGGUAACCGGAGAAGAAGCCCCGGCUAACUUCGUGCCAGCCGCCGCGGUAACAC
rnacentral:rRNA from 1 species